rnacentral:rRNA from 1 species
UACAGAGGGUGCGAGCGUUUAAUCGGAAUUACUGGGCGUAAAGCGCGCGUAGGCGGCUUUGCAAGUCGGGUGUGAAAUCCCCAGGCUCAACCUGGGAACUGCAUUCGAGACUGCAUUGCUAGAGUAUGGGAGAGGGAAGUGGAAUUUCCGGUGUAGCGGUGAAAUGUGUAGAUAUCGGAAGGAACAUCAGUGGCGAAAGCGACUUCCUGGACCAAUACUGACGCUCAUGUGCGAAAGCGUGGGGAGCGAACAGG